CGCGGCCUAUCAGCUUGUUGGCGGGGUAACGGCCCACCAAGGCGACGACGGGUAGCUGGUCUGAGAGGACGGCCAGCCACACUGGGACUGAGACACGGCCCAGACUCCUACGGGAGGCAGCAGUGGGGAAUCUUGCGCAAUGGGCGAAAGCCUGACGCAGCGACGCCGCGUGGGGGAUGAAGGCCCUCGGGUUGUAAACCCCUUUCGGCAGGGACGAAGCGAAAGUGACGGUACCUGCAGAAGAAGCUCCGGCUAACUACGUGCCAGCAGCCGCGGUAAGACGUAGGGAGCGAGCGUUGUCCGGAUUCAUUGGGCGUAAAGCGCGCGUAGGCGGCCAUGCAAGUCGGUUGUGAAAUCCCGGUUGGCUCAACCCCGGGACUGCGUCCGAUACUGCGUGGCUCGAGGCAGGUAGGGGAGAUCGGAAUUCCUGGUGUAGCGGUGAAAUGCGCAGAUAUCAGGAGGAACACCGGUGGCGAAGGCGGAUCUCUGGGCCUGUCCUGACGCUCAGGCGCGAAAGCUAGGGGAGCGAACAGGAUUAGAUACCCUGGUAGUCCUAGCCGUAAACGUUGGGCGCUAGGUGUGGGGGGAUAUCGACCCCCUCCGUGCCGAAGCUAACGCAUUAAGCGCCCCGCCUGGGGAGUACGG
rnacentral:rRNA from 1 species